rnacentral:rRNA from 1 species
UACGGAGGGUGCGAGCGUUAAUCGGAAUUACUGGGCGUAAAGGGUGCGUAGGUGGUUGAAUAAGUUAUGUGUAAAAUCCCUGGGCUCAACCUGGGCAGGUCAUAUAAUACUGUUUAACUCGAGUGUGGGAGAGGGUAGUGGAAUUUCCGGUGUAGCGGUGAAAUGCGUAGAGAUCGGAAGGAACACCGGUGGCGAAGGCGGCUACCUGGCCUAACACUGACACUGAGGCACGGAAAAGCGUGGGGAGCAAACAGG